rnacentral:rRNA from 1 species
ACGUACACUCCUGCGGGAGGCAGCAGUGGGGAAUAUUGGACAAUGGGCGCAGGCCUGAUCCAGCCAUGCCGCGUGAGUGAUGAAGGCCCUAGGGUUGUAAAGCUCUUUCACCGGUGAAGAUAAUGACGGUAACCGGAGAAGAAGCCCCGGCUAACUUCGUGCCAGCAGCCGCGGUAAUACGAAGGGGGCUAGCGUUGUUCGGAUUUACUGGGCGUAAAGCGCACGUAGGCGGACUAUUAAGUCAGGGGUGAAAUCCCGGGGCUCAACCCCGGAACUGCCUUUGAUACUGGUAGUCUUGAGUUCGAGAGAGGUGAGUGGAAUUCCGAGUGUAGAGGUGAAAUUCGUAGAUAUUCGGAGGAACACCAGUGGCGAAGGCGGCUCACUGGCUCGAUACUGACGCUGAGGUGCGAAAGCGUGGGGAGCAAACAGGAUUAGAAACCCCUGUAGUCCCAUG